rnacentral:rRNA from 1 species
AGUGAACGCUGGCGGUAGGCCUAACACAUGCCAGUCGAACGGCAGCACAGUAAGAGCUUGCUCUUACGGGUGGCGAGUGGCGGACGGGUGAGGAAUACAUCGGAAUCUACUUUUUCGUGGGGGAUAACGUAGGGAAACUUACGCUAAUACCGCAUACGACCUACGGGUGAAAGCAGGGGAUCUUCGGACCUUGCGCGAUUGAAUGAGCCGAUGUCGGAUUAGCUAGUUGGCGGGGUAAAGGCCCACCAAGGCGACGAUCCGUAGCUGGUCUGAGAGGAUGAGGAGGCAGAGGUGAGCAGAGUAGCGGAACAGGCGCCUACGGGAGGGAGCAGUGGGGGAUAUUGGACAAUGGGCGCAAGCCUGAUACAGCCAUACCGCGUGGGUGAAGAAGGCCAGUGGAUUGUGAAGCCCUUUUGUGGGGAAAGAAAAACAGCAGGUUAAUACCCCGCUGUUCUGACGGUACCGAAAGAAUAAGCACCGGCUAACUGCGUG